GGGCGGAUGGCUCAGCGGCUAGAGCACUUGCUUCACACGCAAGGGGUCACAGGUUCGAAUCCUGUUCCGCCCACCA
rnacentral:tRNA from 1 species